rnacentral:rRNA from 1 species
GACCCGUCUUGAAACACGGACCAAGGAGCCCAASAUAUGCGCGAGUCGCUCGGUCUUGYUUAGGCCUGAGAGGCGAAAUUAACAUAACGGUAUGAUCCUUCUUUUGAAGGCGCAAUACCAACCUGCUUCAUUUGCUUUUCGCAUUGAAGUGGCGUUCGAGCGUACAUGUUGGUACCCGAAAGAUGGUGAACUAUACUUGGGCAAGACGAAGCCAGAGGAAACUCUGGUGGAGGUCUGUAGCGAUUCUGACGUGCAAAUCGAUCGUCAGACCUGAGUAUAGGGGCGAAAGACUAAUCGAACCAUCUAGUAGCUGGUUCACUCCGAAGUUUCCCUCAGGAUAGCUGUCACUAGACACUCUGUAGCAUCCGGUAAAGCGAAUGAUUAGAGGUAUUGGGAUCGAAACGAUCUCAACCUAUUCUCAAACUUUAAAUGGGUGCGAGGCAUGACUUUUUUAAGUGAAAGUCUUACUUCGUAAGAGUAGUGACAAGUGGGCCAUUUUUGGUAAGCAGAACUGGCGCUGUGGGAUGAACCAAACGAGCAGUUAAGGAACCCAAUGCCGACGCUCAUGAGACCCCAUGAAAGGUGUUGGUUGCUAUAGACAGCAGGACGGUGGCCAUGGAAGUUGGAAUCCGCUAAGGAGUGUGU